rnacentral:lncRNA from 1 species
CCAGCUGGAAGUGGCCAGAGUGAAAUCCAGUUUCUCUGUAUCUCUUCUGCCCCUGAAGCGCCCACUCUCUCCUACUCGCUCAUGCCUGUUUUGUCCAGGCGUUCCCUGAACACAGCCAGGCUGCAGGGAGGGGUUUCAGGGCAGAGCAAGAGCUGCAGCAUCUCACGGUGAGCAGGGCUGGCCACCAACUCACACCCGACUCUGGGAGAGCAUCACUGUGGGUCAGAAACUGACCCUCUGAAGGCAUAGGUGACUGCUCCUGGAUCACACAGGGGCCCCAGAACUUAGGUUUUUCUUGUGACCUCUACAGCUGGCUCUAAGGGACAGAACAUCAGCAAGGAGACAUCUGGACCCCGGUAAUCACAGUCAGGCCCGAAGAUUCUUUUAUUUGUCAGAAGCAGCACUCACCUGUGCCUCUCCCUGAUCAGGCCCAAACAAAUCAGCUGCCCUCACCUGAAAGGGUGUUAGUCUCUCAAUCAUGUCCCUGUGACCCCAUGGACUGUAGCACACCAGGCUCCUUUGUCCAUGGGAUUUUCCAGGUAAGAAUACUGGAGUGGGUUGUCAUUUCCUUCUCCAGGGGAUCUUCUCGACUCAGAGAUGGAACCCAGGUCUCCUACAUUACAGGUGUAUUCUUUACCAUCUGAGCCACCAGGGACAUGCAUAAGAAACUGUUACCUCUCAAAACUGGGGUCAGAAGGUUGGGUGUGUGGUUCAGGCUCUACAAGGCAUUUCACAUUCUCCUAGUAUCUCCUCUUGUCUCCCUAUGAAGCUCUUACAUCUCAGGACACCU